GAUGAAGAACGCAGCGAAAUGCGAUACUUGGUGUGAAUUGCAGAAUCCCGUGAACCAUCGAGUCUUUGAACGCAAGUUGCGCCCGAAGCCGUCAGGCCGAGGGCACGCCUGCCUGGGCGUCACACGCCGUUGCCCCCCCGCGCCCCGCACCCAACUCUUUGGGAGCGACCGCGGGGCGGGCUGAUGAUGGCCUCCCGUGCGCUCCGCCGCGCGGUUGGCCCAAAUACCGAGUCCCCAGCGACGUGCGCCACGACGAUCGGUGGUUGAGAGACCUCUGUCGCAAGUCGUGCGCGCCCGUCGCGUCACGCGGGCUCGCAUAGCGCCUCGCGCCGCACCCGGUGCGGAGCUUUCAACGCGACCCCAGGUCAGGCGGGGUUACCCGCUGAAUUUAAGCAUAUCAAUAAGCGGAGGA
rnacentral:misc_RNA from 1 species